rnacentral:misc_RNA from 1 species
UGAUGGACCGACUCGGCAAGC